rnacentral:rRNA from 1 species
UACGUAGGUGGCAAGCGUUGUCCGGAAUUACUGGGCGUAAAGGGCGCGCAGGCGGCUGGUCAAGUCCGAUGUGAAAUCUCCCGGCUUAACUGGGAAACUGCAUCGGAAACUGCUCGGCUUGAGGGUGGAAGAGGGUAGUGGAAUUCCCGGUGUAGUGGUGAAAUGCGUAGAUAUCAGGAGGAACACCAGUGGCGAAGGCGACUAACUGGCCCAUACUUGACGCUGAGGCGCGAAAGCGAGGGGAGCGAACAGG